rnacentral:rRNA from 1 species
UACGUAGGGUGCAAGCGUUGUCCGGAAUUAUUGGGCGUAAAGAGCUCGUAGGCGGUGUGUCGCGUCGGCCGUGAAAGCCUGCAGCUUAACUGUGGGCUUGCGGUCGAUACGGGCAUCACUGGAGUUCGGCAGGGGAGACUGGAAUUCCUGGUGUAGCGGUGAAAUGCGCAGAUAUCAGGAGGAACACCGGUGGCGAAGGCGGGUCUCUGGGCCGAUGACUGACGCUGAGGAGCGAAAGCGUGGGGAGCGAACAGG